rnacentral:rRNA from 1 species
AUUGAACGCUGGCGGCAGGCCUAACACAUGCAAGUCGAGCGAGUGGCGGACGGGUGAGUAAUGUAUGGGAAACUGCCCGAUGGCGGGGGAUAACUACUGGAAACGGUAGCUAAUACCGCAUACCAUCCGAUGAACCCAGAUGGGAUGAGCUAGUAGGUAGGGUAACGGCUCACCGAGGAGACGAUACCUAGCUGGUCUGAGAGGAUGACCAGCCACACUGGGACGGAGCCACGGUCCAGAUUCCUACGGGAGGCAGCAGUGGGGAAUAUUGCACAAUGGGCGCAAGCCUGAUGCAGCCAUGGCGCGUGUAUGAAGAAGGCCUUCGGGUUGUAAAGGACUUUCAGCGAGGAGGCGUGACUCGCAGAAGAAGCACCGGCUAACUCCGUGCCAGCAGCCGCGGUAAUAC